AAGACCUUGCGCUUUUGGAGCGGCCGAUGCCUGAUUAGCUUGUUGGUAAGGUAAAAGCUUACCAAGGCCUCGAUCAGUAGCUGGUCUGAGAGGACGGCCAGCCACACUGGGACUGAGACACGGCCCAGACUCCUACGGGAGGCAGCAGUGGGGAAUUUUGGACAAUGGGGGCAACCCUGAUCCAGCCAUGCCGCGUGAGUGAAGAAGGCCUUCGGGUUGUAAAGCUCUUUCAGCCGGAACGAAACGGUUACGGUUAAUACCCGUGAUUACUGACGGUACCGGAAGAAGAAGCACCGGCUAACUACGUGCCAGCAGCCGCGGUAAUACGUAGGGUGCGAGCGUUAAUCGGAAUUACUGGGCGUAAAGCGUGCGCAGGUGGAUUUGUAAGUCAGAUGUGAAAUCCCCGGGCUUAACCUGGGAACU
rnacentral:rRNA from 1 species